UCUGAAAUUGUACAGAUACCCUUAUAUUGGAUUUCUCAAUGAUGCUAGUCUUAUUUUAGGAUCACAUACUCCUAAAAUUUAUCCCAUGGAAUUGAAUACUUGAUCUUUUACAGAUAUUGGCUUUCUCAAUGAUGCUAGUCUUAUGUUAGGGUCACGGAUUCCUAUCAAUUUAUCCUGUGGAAUUGAAUAAUUGUUCUUGUACAUAUACCCUUCUAUUGGAUUUCUCAGUGAUGCUAGUCUUAUCUUAGGAUCACAGACUCCCAUCAAUUUAUCCUGUGGAUUUGAAUACUUGGUCUUGAUUUCCAUGUUUUUUUCUUUUUUCUUGGAGUAGUUUUGCCGGCUUUCUGAGUUCUGCUUUUCUGUUAAAUGUUGGAGAAAUUAGCUUUUACAUUAUUCUUGCAUUUCUUUCAUAUAAAUAUGUUGUCCUCCGAAUAAUAUUGUAAUGCCAAUUUGGUAUCUUGUAGUGCUUCAUCUUUGCUGCAUUAUUUGCAUUCAAUUCAGUUUUGUGACGUUUUGAAAUCUGAUGCUUUGGACCUAUGAGGAAAGCAGUUGCUCUGUAAUAUAGUUCAACUCUGAUGCGUUGCAUUCAAUUCUGUAAUCUGAUGCCAAUUAACUCAUGCUUCUGUUUAAUAUAGUUAAGCAAUUUGGUCUGGCAUCUUGCAUUUCUAACUGGGAUGGUUGAAUUGGUGUUGCAGGGUGGAGCUGCAGUGUG
rnacentral:misc_RNA from 1 species